CUUUCCCUCUUUCUUUCGGCCUAACACAUGCAAGUCGAACGGCAGCACAGUAAGAGCUUGCUCUUACGGGUGGCGAGUGGCGGACGGGUGAGGAAUACAUCGGAAUCUACUUUUUCGUGGGGGAUAACGUAGGGAAACUUACUCUAAUACCGCAUACGACCUACGGGUGAAAGCAGGGGAUCUUCGGACCUUGCGCGAUUGAAUGAGCCGAUGUCGGAUUAGCUAGUUGGCGGGGUAAAGGCCCACCAAGGCGACGAUCCGUAGCUGGUCUGAGAGGAUGAUCAGCCACACUGGAACUGAGACACGGUCCAGACUCCUACGGGAGGCAGCAGUGGGGAAUAUUGGACAAUGGGCGCAAGCCUGAUCCAGCCAUACCGCGUGGGUGAAGAAGGCCUUCGGGUUGUAAAGCCCUUUUGUUGGGAAAGAAAAGCAGCAGGUUAAUACCCCGCUGUUCUGACGGUACCCAAAGAAUAAGCACCGGCUAACUUCGUG
rnacentral:rRNA from 1 species